GCCUGAGAUACGAGACGUACGAAAUGGACGCAAGAGCCUUGUUUUCAAGCCUAAACACCGAACUGAAACCUGAGACUGUUAAUCAGGGGGUCGUUGGUUCGAGUCCAACUUCGGGCGCCA
rnacentral:tRNA from 1 species